rnacentral:lncRNA from 1 species
AGUUAAAGGAACACUAUAGUCACCUAAAUUACUUUAGCUAAAUAAAGCAGUUUUAGUGUACAGAUCACUCCCCUGCAAUUUCACUGCUCAAUUCACUGUCAUUUAGGAGUUAAAUCACUUUGUUUCUGUUUAUGCAGCCCAAGCCACACCUCCCCUGGCCAUGAUUGACAGAGCCUGCAUGAAAAAAAACUGGUUUCACUUUCAAACAGAUGUAAUUUACCUUAAAUAAUUGUAUCUCAAUCUCUAAAUUGAACUUUAAUCACAUACAGGAGGCUCUUGCAGGGUCUAGCAAGCUAUUAACAUAGCAGGGGAUAAGAAAAUAUUAAACAGAACUUGCAAUAAAGAAAGACUAAAUAGGGCUCUCUUUACAGGAAGUGUUUAUGAAGGCUGUUCAAGUCACAUGCAGGGAAGUGUGACUAGGGUUCAUAAACAAAGGGAUUUAACUCCUAAAUGGCAGAG